rnacentral:rRNA from 1 species
UACGGGGGGGGCAAGCGUUGUUCGGAAUUACUGGGCGUAAAGGGCUCGUAGGCGGCCAACUAAGUCAGACGUGAAAUCCCUCGGCUUAACCGGGGAACUGCGUCUGAUACUGGAUGGCUUGAGUUUGGGAGAGGGAUGCGGAAUUCCAGGUGUAGCGGUGAAAUGCGUAGAUAUCUGGAGGAAUACCGGUGGCGAAGGCGGCAUCCUGGACCGACAUUGACGCUGAAACCGAAAGCUAGGGGAGACAAACGGG